rnacentral:rRNA from 1 species
UACGUAGGGACCGAGCGUUGUCCGGAAUCAUUGGGCGUAAAGAGCGUGUAGGCGGCCACUUAAGUCCUGCGUGAAAUCUUGCGGCUCAACCGCAAGCGGUCGUGGGAAACUGGGUGGCUAGAGUGCGGGAGAGGAGAGUGGAAUUCCUGGUGUAGCGGUGGAAUGCGCAGAUAUCAGGAGGAACACCUAUGGCGAAGGCAGCUCUCUGGUACGUGACUGACGCUGAGACGCGAAAGCGUGGGGAGCGAACAGG